AUUGAACGCUGGCGGCAGGCCUAACACAUGCAAGUCGAACGAGUGGCGGACGGGUGAGUAAUGUCUGGGAAACUGCCUGAUGGAGGGGGAUAACUACUGGAAACGGUAGCUAAUACCGCAUACCAUCGGAUGUGCCCAGAUGGGAUUAGCUAGUCGGUGGGGUAAAGGCUCACCUAGGCGACGAUCCCUAGCUGGGCUGAGAGGAUGACCAGCCACAAUGGACCUGAGACACGGUCCAGAUUCAUACGGGAGACAGCAGUGGGGAGUAUGGCACAAUGGGCGCAAGCCUGAGGCAGCCAUGCCGCGUGUAUGAAGAAGGCCUUCGGGGUGUAAAGUACUGUCAGCGAGGGGGCGUUACCCGCAGAAGAAGCACCGGCUAACUCCGUGCCAGGAGCCGCGGUAAUAC
rnacentral:rRNA from 1 species